UACGUAGGUGGCAAGCGUUGUCCGGAUUUACUGGGCGUAAAGGGCGUGCAGGCGGUUUGUUAAGUUCAGGGUGAAAGCUCCCGGCUCAACUGGGAGAGGUCCUUGGAUACUGGCAGACUUGAGGAGGGUAGAUGAGAGUGGAAUUCCCGGUGUAGUGGUGAUAUGCGUAGAUAUCGGGAGGAACACCAGUGGCGAAGGCGGCUCUCUGGGCCCUACCUGACGCUGAGACGCGAAAGCGUGGGGAGCGAACCGG
rnacentral:rRNA from 1 species